UCGAGAGGCUUCUACAAUGGGGGAAACCCUGAUAGAGCGACGCCGCGUGGGUGAUGAAGGUCUUCGGAUCGUAAAGCCCUUUCAGCAAGGACGAAUGUACUGGUGAUAAUACCACCAAAUGCAAGACGGUACUUGCAGAAGAAGCUCCGGCUAACUCCGUGCCAGCAGCCGCGUUAAGACGGAGGGAGCAAGCGUUGUUCGGAUUUACUGGGCGGAAAGGGCGUCUAGGCGGACUAGUCAGUCAGAUGUGAAACCCCCCGGCUUAACCGGGGAACUGCAUUUGAUACUACUGGUCUUGAGUACGGAAGAGGAAAGCGGAAUUCCUGGUGUAGCGGUGAAAUGCGUAGAUAUCAGGAAGAACACCGGUGGCGAAGGCGGCUUUCUGGUUCGAUACUGACGCUAAAGCGCGAAAGUGUGGGGAGCAAACA
rnacentral:rRNA from 1 species